GAGAUCAGAUAAUGUGUCAAACAACAAUGGAGUGUACAAUCUUUCAGCCAAAUAAACACUUGAAUAAGAAAAGCAAAAUUACAAGGAAGAAUCUGUAUUUUCAUUAUAUUGUUGACUAUUGUAUUUUUUAUAGGCACUGCAAAGUUGACUCUUAAUGCUUUGGGUUUUUUUUUUCUUCAGCUCUGAUUUAUUUAUUUUUAUUUUAAUCUUACUUGUAUUGUCAC
rnacentral:lncRNA from 1 species